rnacentral:rRNA from 1 species
GAUGAACGCUGGCGGCGUGCCUAAUACAUGCAAGUCGAGCGAACAGACGAGGAGCUUGCUCCUCUGACGUUAGCGGCGGACGGGUGAGUAACACGUGGAUAACCUACCUAUAAGACUGGGAUAACUUCGGGAAACCGGAGCUAAUACCGGAUAAUAUAUUUAACCGCAUGGUUCAAUAGUGAAAGACGGUUUUGCUGUCACUUAUAGAUGGAUCCGCGCCGCAUUAGCUAGUUGGUAAGGUAACGGCUUACCAAGGCAACGAUGCGUAGCCGACCUGAGAGGGUGAUCGGCCACACUGGAACUGAGACACGGUCCAGACUCCAACGGGAGGCAGCAGUAGGGAAUCUUCCGCAAUGGGCGAAAGCCUGACGGAGCAACGCCGCGUGAGUGAUGACGGUCUUCGGAUCGUAAAACUCUGUUAUUAGGGAAGAACAAAUGUGUAAGUAACUAUGCACGUCUUGAGGGUACCUAAUCAGAAAGCCAGGGCUAACUACGUG